rnacentral:ncRNA from 1 species
CAGAGUAGAGGUUCCUGCGUGAAGUGCUGUCAAAAUGGGGAGUUGUGUGACAGACGAAGGGCGUCCCGCCCGCGAUAGGAUCUUCGCACCCGCUGC